rnacentral:tRNA from 1 species
GCCGAGGUAGCUCAGUUGGUUCAGAGCAUACGGUUCAUACCCGUACGGUCGAGAGUUCGAGUCUCUCCCUCGGCA